GCGCCAACUCGUUGUUGUGUACGUUAUGGCAAAACUCAAAUCUGAUAGGUGACACACACAUACCGUACUCGAAGGUAGAUCUUAAGCGCUGAAUGAAGAGAAGCGUUUGUCCUGCACAGCACAGGUGAUCCUCUGAAUUAUGAAGCACUGAAGCAAUAUACGAUAACAUUUAUUUAGCAACACCAUUUUUUUGUGGUAGGAAAUUAAAAUACGUGUUUUAAUUCUUGUUUCGCUCUGCGUUUCCAGGUACAAACGAAAAACACAAGCCAAAGAAAACGACGCAAAUUUGGCACCCAAGCUAUGCGAAAACUACACAUAAGUAAGUAUAUGUGCUGCCGAAGCAAGCACGAACAGAGAGCUCGGACGAGGGCUAGAUAUACCACUGACUCCCAGCUAUGUUUCACAUAGGUGCUGUGAUUGGACCGCUCGGUAUGACGCAGAGGCGCUCUUGGUUACAUGUCACACACCCUCCCCCACAGACAGCGCACAACCUCCCGCCGGGACAAAGAGCGGCCGCCUUCCUCACAGAAGAGCAUAAAGGGCUGAACGACCAGGAAACUCUCCUUUCAGAACAACAGAGGCCGUGAGAACACUGUGAACCUCAAAGCUCAACUCAGAACAGCCACUAGAAGGUGGAGAAAUUACAGGUUAUGUAGAAUAUGACAAAUAUGACCAAUAAUAAACAACAGGACCCACCAAUACCUGUCUAAACUUAUUUGAAAAGGUAAGGGGCCCAGAGCAAUAUAACGUUAGAGUGACCUAAGAGUGAAUAAAUC
rnacentral:lncRNA from 1 species